rnacentral:rRNA from 1 species
CAACCUACCUAUCAGAGGGGAAUAACCCGGCGAAAGUCGGACUAAUACCGCAUAAAACAGGGGCACCGCAUGGUGAUAUUUGUUAAAGAAAUUCGCUGAUAGAUGGGCAUGCGUUCCAUUAGGUAGUUGGUGAGGUAACGGCUCACCAAGCCGACGAUGGAUAGGGGAACUGAGAGGUUGGUCCCCCACACUGGUACUGAGACACGGACCAGACUCCUACGGGAGGCAGCAGUGAGGAAUAUUGGUCAAUGGGCGGGAGCCUGAACCAGCCAAGUCGCGUGAAGGAAGAAGGAUCUACGGUUCGUAAACUUCUUUUGCAGGGGAAUAAAGUGCAGGACGUGUCCUGUUUUGUAUGUACCCUGAGAAUAAGGAUCGGCUAACUCCGUGCCAGCAGCCGCGGUAAUACGGAGGAUCCGAGCGUUAUCCGGAUUUAUUGGGUUUAAAGGGUGCGUAGGUGGUUUGAUAAGUCAGCGGUGAAAGUUUGCAGCUUAACUGUAAAAAUGCCGUUGAAACUGUCGGACUUGAGUGUAAAUGANGUAGGCGGAAUGCGUGGUGUANCGGUGAAAUGCAUAGAUAUCACGAAGAACUCCGAUUG